UACGGAGGGUGCAAGCGUUAAUCGGAAUUACUGGGCGUAAAGCGUGCGCAGGCGGUUUGUUAAGUCCGCUGUGAAAUCCCCGAGCUCAACUUGGGAAUUGCAGUGGAUACUGGCAAGCUGGAGUAUGGUAGAGGAAGGUGGAAUUCCCGGUGUAGCAGUGAAAUGCGUAGAGAUCGGGAGGAACACCAGUGGCGAAGGCGGACCUCUGGACCAAUACUGGACGCUCAUGCACGAAAGCGUGGGGAGCAAACAGG
rnacentral:rRNA from 1 species